GGAUUCUCUUAACAAAGUAAGGAUUUACUGAAGUAUAUGGGGAUAGCUAUUCUGUAAAUUCCACAAACAGAGCAAAUCCUUUGUCUCAUGUAUGUCUUGUGAUUGCAUUGGAAAUUCAUAGGUUUUAAUGUGUUGUGAAAAGUAAUUUUUACCUGAAAUUAUUAACAAUGGGAAUAUAAACAACUAGGUUGGGGAAAAGGAAAAAAAAGAGUCUUAAACAACGUUCAUGAGCUAAAGUGUGAGGAAAGAAGGGCAACUAAAUCUAACUACGUGGCUUGCACAUUACACAGAAUCGAACUCUCCCAGGAUCCAGAAUCAAACUCAUCAUUACCCAAACAUAAUGAAUGCCUGGGGUCUAGGAACAAAUUUCACUGAUUUUGUGCAGCUUUAAGGUAG